GGUCAAGGUGUGUUGACAUGUAUUACUUGAAUUUAUUGCUGAUGUAUAAUAACACUUUAACUCU
ensembl:snoRNA